rnacentral:rRNA from 1 species
UACAGAGGUCCCAAGCGUUGUUCGGAUUCACUGGGCGUAAAGGGUGCGUAGGUGGUGAGGUAAGUCGGAUGUGAAAGCUCGGAGCUCAACUCCGAAAUGGCAUUGGAAACUACCUUGCUCGAGGGUUGGAGGGGGGACUGGAAUGCUUGGUGUAGCAGUGAAAUGCGUAGAUAUCAAGCGGAACACCAGUGGCGAAGGCGACUUACUGGACACAUAUUGACGCUGAGGUGCGAAAGCGUGGGGAGCAAACAGG